rnacentral:rRNA from 1 species
AUACCUGCCGGCGACCGGCAAACGGGUGCGGAACACGUACACAACCUUCCUUUAAGUGGGGAAUAGCCCAGAGAAAUUUGGAUUAAUACCCCGUAAGAUUAUUGAAUGGCAUCAUUUAGUAAUUAAAGCUCCGGCGCUUGGAGAUGGGUGUGCGUCUGAUUAGGUAGUUGGUGAGGGUAACGGCCCACCAAGCCUUCGAUCAGUAACUGGUGUGAGAGCACGACCAGUCACACGGGCACUGAGACACGGGCCCGACUCCUACGGGAGGCAGCAGUAAGGAAUAUUGGUCAAUGGACGCAAGUCUGAACCAGCCAUGCCGCGUGGAGGAUGAAGGUCCUCUGGAUUGUAAACUUCUUUUAUUUGGGAAGAAAGGCAUCUUUUCUAGGGUGUUUGACGGUACCAGAUGAAUAAGCACCGGCUAACUCCGUGCCAGCAGCCGCGGUAAUACGGAGGGUGCAAGCGUUAUCCGGAUUCACUGGGUUUAAAGGGUGCGUAGGUGGGCAGUUAAGUCAGUGGUGAAAUCUCCGGGCUUAACCCGGAAACUGCCAUUGAUACUAUCUGUCUUGAAUAUCGUGGAGGUAAGCGGAAUAUGUCAUGUAGCGGUGAAAUGCUUAGAUAUGACAUAGAACACCAAUUGCGAAGGCAGCUUACUACCCGAAUAUUGACACUGAGGCACGAAAGCGUGGGGAUCAAACAGGAUUAGAUACCCU